rnacentral:misc_RNA from 1 species
UACUGACGUAGUACAGUAAGAAUGUAGGACAAGUUCGAACUAGGAAUGGUGAUACAGAAUAUGGAGAGGAUGAAGAUAAGUUUAAAGCUGUAAGCCGUUAUACGCAAACUGACAUUGUCAGUGAUAACUCCAUACAUGUUACGUAAUAGACGAACGAAUCAUUAUUGAUGUGACAACAAUUUCCCUCCUCGUCACCACUCUGUUGUCAUAAGCAGUAAUGGAUUUCCACCAUUGUGCUCCGUGAAUUUCUUUUGAAAUAGAUACGUAAAUAUUUCUUCUUUUGAAUUCGAACUUAGAUUUUAAUUAGAGAUAUUUCUGAAUAUAAAUAUUCGAAAAAAUGGUUGCCUCUUGGUGCUUGCCACCCCAUCGCUGAACAUUGAAAUGUAUAAGGCAUUAAAAUCCAUGAUUAUUGACUUAUGCAUUUUGAACUCUGAAUCUGUAAACUGAUACAACGCACUACUUAAAUCAAAGAAUUCAGAAAGCUAAAAACUCGAAAACAUAUUCACAGAAAAUGUUUGCAAUGAAGGCACUUAGCAGCGUUGACGUUCAGGAAGAGUAUCGCAACAUAACUAACCUAUGUAGAAGAAUAACCAAUCUGCAAGAACAAGUUUUGUCAGUAGGCCCCGUUUCUGAUCACUCAAAAUGCCUAUUAAAUGGGGUGCUUGAACAGGCUAAACAAGAGCUUACUUCCACUACUUCUCAUAUUCUUCUUCUAAGAAGAGAGGCCGAUGAAUUGACCAAGCGUUCACUUGCCGCUCACCCAAAGCUGGAAGCUUUCAGUUUGGAAUGUGAAACCCUAAAGAAGCAAAUUACCGAACUUGAGCAAACUAAAAACUUUUUGAUUGCUUCGCAAUCCCAACUGAAAAACGACUUAAUGUCUGUCUAUCAAUCCAAGAACCAGCGAAUCGCAGAAUUAGAAGAAAAACUGGCGAAGAGCAGCGAAAGUAACCUGGCAUCAAAAGUGGUUGGAUACGAGCGGGAAUUAAGGACCAAACUCGAGGCAAGGGAAUCGGAAGAACAAAACUCGAAAGGGGAGAAAAUUCUCUCAUCGUCACCGGAAACCAAGUCAGAUUUACCCAAUCAGGAUCCGGUUACUGCAACUUUGCAAGCGAGUUCCUGGACGUCAGAAUCGGUUGAAAUAGCGGCUAAACGAACACGUGAUCCUGGGCCAAUUCCGGCACGCGAUUUCAUCGUCGUUUCAAAGGUAGAGCAAAUUGAACAAAUCAAUACGCUUGUAAUAACGAAUAUUCCCAACUGCGACUACGGCCGCGUGGUUGGUCGUGAAGGAAGAAACGUGGAACGUCUAAGAAAGAACUAUGGCGUUACAAUUAGCUUUGUCGACUCCCAUAAAGAUCUGAAGCUGUUCAUACUUGGAGCGAAUGCAGAAAAUCGCCGUGCAGCCGCUGAUGACAUCAUUAAAAAUUUGCCAUUGGUUGUUGAAUGUCCAAACUUAAGGUCACAAAUCAGCAAUCGAGAGAUCAAGCAGAUCAACCGUGACUGCCACGUACAAAUAAUUCUGCCAAACUUCGCUAAUAACAAUUACUUCACGAUUCGCGGAACAAUGGAUAACUGUCAGAUGGCUUAUCGACUACUUUCAAAUCACGCAAAACUUUGAAUGUAGCAGUCGUUGGGAACGAACCAUCCUGCCAGACUGGUGCAUCGUUGGCUGCACGUUCGGAGAUUUUCUGAUGGAUGACGGGGUGAAAAAUUCUCUGAGAAGCCAGUUUCCAAUUACCGAGAACGGUGAAGAGGUCCCUGAGGACGAUUCAGUGUAAUUUAGAUUGUGACUGGUAGUGAUUGUGGUUGUAAA